rnacentral:rRNA from 1 species
GACGAACGCUGGCGGCGUGCUUAACACAUGCAAGUCGAACGAUGAAGCCGGAGCUUGCUCGGGUGGAUUAGUGGCGAACGGGGGAGUAACACGUGAGCAAUCUGCACUUGACUCUGGGAUAACUGCGGGAAACUGUAGCUAAUACUGGAUACGAUACCUUGGGGCAUCCCAGGUGGGGGAAAGAAAUUCGGUCAAUGAUGAGCUCGCGGCGUAUCAGCUAGGUGGUGAGGUGAUGGCUCACCAAGGCGACGACGGGUAGCCGGACGGAGAGGGUGACCGGCCACACUGGAACUGAGACACGGUCCAGACUCCUACGGGAGGCAGCAGUAGGGAAUAUUGCACAAUGGGCGAAAGCCUGCUGCAGCAACGCCGCGUGAGGGAUGAAGGCCUUCUGGUUGUAAACCUCUUAUAGCAGGGAAGAAGCGAAAGUGAGGGUACCUGCAGAAAAAGCACCGGCUAACUACGUGCCAGCCGCCGCGGUAA